rnacentral:rRNA from 1 species
AGCGAACGUAUCACUUAAAGCGAUUCAGCGGGUUGACGAUUGACGGAGCGAAGCGACGUCAAAGCGUUCAUUAAAGUCGAGUUGGCUUAGGGAUACGUUCGUUGGGUAGGGGAGCGUUCUGUAAGCCUGCGAAGGUGGCCUGUGAGGGUUGCUGGAGGUAUCAGAAGUGCGAAUGCUGACAUAAGUAACGAUAAAGCGGGUGAAAAGCCCGCUCGCCGGAAGACCAA